GUGGAUGGCUUAGUGGUCAGAGCAUCUGCUUAGUAAGCAGGAGUCCCAGGUUCAAUUCCCGGUUCAACUG